CAGCAAACUUCGACUUUUGCACAUAACGAGCAGUUGUUAUCAGAAUGUUUCGUAUGUCACAGCAUUCCGUUCGCUUCUGCUUCCGAGAUCGCCUCCCCCCCCGCUCCCCCACCCGGGGUAAAAUAUGGAGUGAAAAACAAAAGUGCGGCUGCUGUGCUAUAACAGUCCGGCAUGUAUGAGCAGGGGCCCCCGCCGAGGUCUCACUUACAGUGCAGUGAUUGAAGGGUGCGACGGUUACGUAACUGCAAGGUGUGGUGUGACGCCGCGUGAAUACGAAGCCUUGUCCCACAGAUGUAAUUCAACAGUUUAUUACAUGGCAUAAAGUCACAACCCUGGAGUUCAUCUCAUGGAUAAAGUAAGUGUACUUGACCUCAUAUCUCAUUUUUCAUCCAUUCUCGUUAUCAUUUAAGAUCAUCUUGUCUCAUUUCAUCUCGUCUCGUCUUUUUUCUUGUAUUAUUUCAUAUUUCC
ensembl:lncRNA